rnacentral:lncRNA from 1 species
GGUGAUAAAAGGAAGAAAUCAAUUCUCUAAAUCAAUUAGAAAAAUUGUUUUCCUUCAAAUCUCUAAAUCAAUUAGGAAAAUUGUUCCUUGAAUAAAUAUGGAAAAUCAAUUAGCUUGCAAAAUCAUGUCAUGAUUACCAUAAGAGAAAAAAAUAAGAAUCUAUACAAAUAUAAUAUUGAGAUUUCUCCUAAAAUAAACAAGUACUUUAAAAGGCAAAUAACAUAUGAGUGGGCAGCACUAAUACCCGCCCAAAACAAAAGAAUAAAAGUAAAACGUCCCUUAAUCAAGGGAUUGCAAUUACGCACAAAAUCAAAGUUACCAAAUAUAAUCGCAUAAAAUCAGAAUUUAAGCUUGUCAAAUAUGGUCUAUCAUGAAGAUUAAUCUACCACAAGACUGUUAUAAUUUCAAAUUCACACAAAUUAAGUGUUUAAAAACCAAGAGAGUAGGGAAAAUCAUAAUUACGGCUAGAUUUGAUACUACCUUAGUGAUAAAUUCAUAACAACUACACACAAGAGAAUCGUAAUUUUAAAAUUUGUCAGAUCAGCAUUCAAACCAAAAAUUAAGCGAAUUUUAAAGUCUAUGAAUGUUAACAAGAGCAGAUCACCAAAAACUAAACCAAAAAUUUCAAUAACUCCAGUCAAUUUCAGACACCAGAAGUUUUCGACACAAAACAAAAGAAGAAUAAAGUAGAAAUACCAACUUGAGACGGAUUCAUAUGUGUGAACCCGUCAUGUUUUUAACAAUUUCUGGCGAGGAAUGGGUCGUGGAGGGAAAGAAAAACCUAAUCGAUGGCGGCAUGUGGACGCACGGAGAGCAUCAGCGGCGGCUGCAUGGUUAGCCGGAGGAGCCUGAGCUAGCCGAUCGUGGUGGCGGCUAUGGGGAUGGUCUCGCCGGACGCGUGGCUGGCGAGGCGGCUGCGGGGGUCGUCGUUGGUCUCCGGCGUUGGGAUAGGAGGCGGCAUACACGGCUGGGGACUGGACGUUGUUGUUUUCUGUUGGUGGCGCCGGUGGAGCAGCUAUCAACGAUGGCAGACCUCGCCGGAGCGGGAGAAAGGGGAGACGGCAGAUGCUCGUUGCUGUCCAGAGGCUGGCGGUGGUUUCGCCGGGGAAGGAGGAUGAGAGGGGAGAGGAGGAAAGAGAAGGGCGGGCGGUGGAGCGGCGGCAACAGCCGUCCCCCGGAGAGUAGCGGCUGCAGCAGCCGUCCCCCGGAGAGGAGCGGCGGCAGCAGCCGUCCCCCGGAGAGGAGAGAGAGGAGAGAAGAGAGAGAGCAGUUAGAGAGAGAGGGA